GGGGAUGACACGAAUCCGUUCAUGAGGGAUCGGUUCCCAUCAUCCAAUACCUCCCACCAGACUCCACUUCCAUCAUUGGAGGUCACAUUUCAACUGAGAUUUGGAGGGGACCGUAUCCUAACUAUAUUAACUUCCAAUUUUCAUCGAAAGCCCACCUGUCCAACAAGAGCUCCUAGACAUUCCCUUUCCCCUUCAACUUGGAGGAAUUGGGAAUGACAAAGAGAAAUUAAUCAAAAGAAGAAUUAAUCUCUCCAAUCAGCCUUGGCGUUUUCUUUCUAUCUUUGCUUAGAUUGACUUCGCCUCUUUUGCUGCGUGCAUAGUGCCAUCUUGUGGCCACGAAGCAAUAACAGUCAUAGUUAUGCCACAGCGCUUCUGCAGUUCCAUCUUAUUUCUAUAGUCCAGAGGAUCUCUAAGUGUAGAAACACAUGGAUUAUUACUAGCCAAGGCCAUCACUUGCCAAGCCCAUCUAAAAGCCAGAGGCAGCAAGCAGUGCCCGUUGAAACAUCCAUAAAAGGCAAACUUCAGCUAGCGUCUUGAAUUUAAGUCCCAAAUCAUCUAAGAAGCAGUCAUCUAGCUCUCCUUCAAUAAAACUGCAACAACCAAUAGAAGCAUUCAGCGAUUCAGUUUCUUCCUGAGAAUAAACCAGAAGGCAAUCUUUGGCUGUGUGAUUUUCAUCUUCCUCAGUCUGGAUAGAACCCAAAGAGAAAACAAAGCCCAAACGGUCAUGGGACCAAUGGCACUUCAACCUCCCUCUACAGUUUGAUACCUUCUUCUAUAGUUAUAGAAUUCUUAAUUUUGUUUUGACCUGGAUCCAUGGCCACCCAAAAUAAAGACUAUAUUUCUAA